rnacentral:rRNA from 1 species
UACGGAGGGUGCAAGCGUUAUCCGGAUUCACUGGGUUUAAAGGGUGCGUAGGCGGACAUGUAAGUCCGUGGUGGAAUCUCUAAGCUUAACUUGGAAACUGCCAUGGAUACUAUAUGUCUUGAAUGUUGUGGAGGUUAGCGGAAUAUGUCAUGUAGCGGUGAAAUGCAUAGAUAUGACAUAGAACACCAAUUGCGAAGGCAGCUGGCUACACAAAUAUUGACGCUGAGGCACGAAAGCGUGGGGAUCAAACAGG